GUGGGUCCUGUAGAUCCAGCAAUGUCGCUCAUGCCGAUUUCGAUGCGGAGGGGUGUCCGAUCUGGAGCACCGAUACGGUAGCCGAAAGGACACAGCCGCCGCCCAACGGAUCCGAGCGCGAGCGUCGCUUCUCCGAGAUUAUUGAUCGGGAUAUCCGCUGUGGGUUCCCUGUUCCGGAUCGCCGUUUGGUUACGCGGCGGGGCCUCACGCCGCGGUGGGGAUCCCCUUCCAUCCCAAACCCCCACCGCACGGAUGGAAUCCCUCCCUUCCUCUCGUUGAGCCGCCGCUGUCGCUUGCGAUCCACGCCUCUACUACCGUCUUCUUGCCCUCCCCCCCCCUCCUUCUCUCCGCCGCCCGCGGCCACUACCAUGAGUGGAUGCCCUAGGCGGCGCCACCUCUCGGAUCUCGCUGGCAGAUCCACCCUUUCCUCGCUCUCGAAUGGACGCUGCUUCUCGGCCCGCCGUUGUCAUCGACAACGGAACCGGGUACACCAAAAUGGGCUUUGCUGGCAAUGUUGAACCGUGCUUCAUCAUCCCUACAGUAGUUGCGGUCAAUGAGUCUUUUUUGAAUCAAGCAAGGAGUUCUAGUAAGGGAAAUUGGCUAGCACAGCACAGUGCAGGUGUAAUGGCUGAUCUCGAUUUUUUUAUUGGAGAGGAGGCCUUAUCACAGUCUCGCUCUAGCAGUACGUACAAUCUUAGUUACCCUAUACAUCAUGGUCAGGUAGAGAAUUGGGAUACCAUGGAAAGAUUUUGGCAACAGUGCAUUUUUAAUUACUUGCGUUGUGAUCCAGAAGACCAUUACUUUCUAUUGACUGAGAGCCCACUCACUGCUCCUGAAAAUCGUGAAUACACGGGAGAAAUCAUGUUCGAGACAUUUAAUGUCCCUGGGCUGUAUAUUGCAGUCCAGCCUGUCCUCGCCCUUGCUGCUGGAUAUACUACUUCCAAGUGUGAAAUGACGGGGGUUGUAGUCGAUGUGGGAGAUGGAGCUACACAUGUUGUGCCGGUUGCAGAUGGUUAUGUGAUUGGGAGUAGCAUCAAAUCUAUUCCUAUUGCGGGCAGGGAUGUUACUCACUUUAUUCAGCAACUUUUGAGGGAAAGGGGAGAGCAUAUACCACCAGACGACUCUUUUGAAGUAGCUCGGAAGGUGAAAGAGAUGUAUUGUUACACUUCUUCUGACAUUGUCAAGGAAUUCAAUAAGCAUGAUAAGGAGCCUGCCAAGUACAUCAAGCAUUGGACUGGUGUUAAGCCAAAGACUGGAGCACCAUAUUCCUGCGAUAUAGGAUAUGAGCGCUUUCUUGGUCCUGAGAUUUUCUUCCAUCCUGAGAUAUGCAGCAGUGAUUUUACCACUCCUUUACCUGCUGUGAUUGACAAGUGCAUUCAGUCAUCCCCAAUUGACACAAGGAGGGCUCUGUAUAAGGUCCCAGAAUAUAGUGCUAUCUGGAGGAUCAACCAUGUUCAAGGACUUCCAUAGAAGAUUGCAGCGGGAUCUAAAAAAGAUAGUGGAUACACGAAUCGUUACAUCUGCUGCCCGAUUUGGUGGAGAUGUUAAAUCUCAGCCCAUUGAAGUUAAUGUAGUCAGCCAUCCUAUCCAGAGAUUUGCUGUUUGGUUUGGAGGUUCAGUGCUUGCAUCUACACCUGAAUUUUAUGAGGCUUGCCAUACAAAAGCAGAAUAUGAGGAAUAUGGUGCAAGCAUAUGCCGAACAAAUCCUGUCUUCAAAGGAAUGUAUUGAAAUGGAAAAAAAAUAAUGGGCCAGUAAUAUAAGGUUCAUCUCUUCUGUGUGAAGCUGCAGCAAACUGCACUACUCUCCUUGGAAACCCCUCCUGCAUUCCCAUCUGUACAGCUGAGAAGACCAUGAAGAGGGGACCAUCAUACGGUUGUACAAGAUAUGUAUCAGUAGAAGCCCUCAGAUUUAGUUCUGUCAAUUGAUUCUGUAUUUUAAUUUCAUGGAAAUAUUUAUAUAUUUGAUAAAGCAAAGAAAAAGGGAGGUUCCCCCUUGUACUCCAAGCAUGAUACUUAAUCGAGUUACUCUUAAGGGUU